AAUAUUUUAGAGCUGGGUUUUACUACCCUAGACCAGUAUGUUUGGAUGGAGGGGCAUGACCAACACAUCUGUAUAUAGUGUCCUUUUUCCCCACAGGAGUGCCAGCAGGUGUCAAUUGGGCUAAUUUUCAUGUGGAAUUGUUUCACCGGGGUGGUAUACUGUCCACCUAAACACUGUAUUGGAAGGUUACGCAGAAGUGUUCUGAUACUUCCCAAGGAGGGACAGUAAAAGACAGGAAGUUGUUACCCAUGAAGGAGAAGUGAUGGUGGCAUUGGAUCCAUUGAGCAAUAUGGGAGUAU